GGUUGCCUUCGGGAACUCUGACACAGGUGCUGCAUGGCUGUCGUCUAGCUCGUGUCGUGAGAUGUGGGUUAAGUCCGUAACGAGCGCAACCCUUGUCCUUAGCUACCAGCACGUUAUGGUGGGCACUCUAAGGAGACUGCCGGUGACAAACCGGAGGAAGGUGGGGAUGACGUCAAGUCAUCAUGGCCCUUACGGCCUGGGCUACACACGUGCUACAAUGGUCGGUACAAAGGGUUGCCAAGCCGCGAGGUGGAGCUAAUCCCAUAAAACCGAUCGUAGUCCGGAUCGCAGUCUGCAACUCGACUGCGUGAAGUCGGAAUCGCUAGUAAUCGUGAAUCAGAAUGUCACGGUGAAUACGUUCCCGGGCCUU
rnacentral:rRNA from 1 species